CCCAAAGUUUCAGGAUCAUGUCACUGUGUGUGGUGGGUUUUAACAGGAAGGAGAGCACAGUGGUACCUUGGUUUUAGAACAGCUUAGUUUAUGAACAACUUGGAAAUAGAACGCUGCAAACCCGGAAGUAGGUGUCCCUUUUUGUGAGCUUUGCCUUGUUCAGCUUCCUGUCGAAUAUAUUCAUUUGUAAAUUGAGUCCCCCACUGCUAAUCAGAGGCUGAGUCCUGAGUCCCAAGCACCCAGGCAACACAGAGGUGAUAUUUGGAGCUUUUGUUUUUGCUAUUUGUUUUUGCUAUUUGUUUGUGUGGCUUUUUCGUUUUUGUGACUGUGACUUGUGACUUUGUUUUUGUGACUUGUUUUUGUGACUGUGUGGAACCCAGUUCAGCUGCUGAUUGAUGGUGUGACUGCAGAAAUGGAUUAAAAAAAAACACACCAUCCAAACAAUGACUAUCAUCAGUGCACGUAAGAAAAAAAUUGAAUAUGAACACAUAUUCAGCAUGCAUGUCCAGUCUCUGACAUCUACAGACAUGGCUGGGAGGAGUCUGAAAGCCUGGGGAAAGCCUGUCUCUCAGGACAGCCCAGACUAAGCUCAGUGCAACAUGAACCGACUCAGGAUAAUGCAGCUUCCUAGCUCCCCCCCAAAAUGAUACCACACAUCCAUUUCCAUCACAUAUUCUUAUUGCAGUCCCAUCACAGAUGGAACUACACCAGAAGGGUAAUAAUAAUAAUAAUAAUAAUAAUAAUAAUAAUAAUAAUAAUUUAUUAUUUAUACCCCGCCCAUUUGGCUGGGCUUCCCCAGCCACUCUGGGCGGCUUUCAACAAAAUAUUAAAAUACCGUAAUGCAUCAAACAUUAAAAGCUUCCCUAAACAGGGCUGCCAUAUUAAACUAAGCACUCCUUCAUAAUUAGCAAUUUCCUACCUGAUAAGCAUGCUUUGUGUGCAGAAAAAUGCAUAGAUAGUAACAUCCAGAUCCAACCUAGCAUGGACAUAUACGCCCUAGAGCAAGAGGGGGGUGUAAUCAGAUGAACAACAGAUACCACUUUUAACUACCUCCAAACAGCCACAAAGAUUGCUAUCAUUCACCAACAACCACCCGCAGGUACACUCAACUUUUAAUUUAAAAGGCCAAAACUCUGUAGUUAGGACAACAGUGCCUGAAAGGGUACGCUGAGCUGUUCUUUUUGUGACUACGGACAGUAAUAGGAAACAUUAGGCCCCAUUCUCUUUAUAUCAAAUCAGAAGGUGUUUCCUGGUACAUAAUGAGCAUCAUCAAAAUCCAUUAGCCACAGCUAAUUAUCAACAGCAUGUAUGUACACCAAAUGAAACUGACCGCCUGUGCCUCAUGUGGUUUGACAAGUGAUGACAGCAAUAGUGACCAAUAUACUGUCUAUAUGUGAGUUCCUACCGCGCUCUUGCAUUUCUCCCAUUCAUUUUGGUGGAGCUUCCAUGAGAGAUUUUUCCACUGGAUUGUGGCAUCUGCCAAAAGAGAAACAGAAUUAAGCCCUUCUUAAAUUUAUCCUUUAGAGUGAAAAGAUUUGCAAUUAUUAGUGUACAUGAAAGCAUGCAAAAUGUCUCCAUAAUUUACUGGGUUUUCAGCUGCUCUGACAUUGGGGCUGCAUCUGGACAUGCACAGCUCAGGUUUAUAGAUUUGUACUCAUUUCAAGGCAAAUGAAUGGAUAAAUGUAUUGUGACUGAUUAACCGUUCUUUGUACUCUUAGGAGUGUGUCAUUAUGAACGAUUGUCCACACAACUCAUUACUAUGCCAUUAAGCCUUGUGAAUUAUUGCUGCUAACAAUGCUCUUCCAAAAUGAUGGACUGCACUUCCAUUGACUUUAUGGAGCA